GCUGGACGGGCGGGGGCGGUGCAGCCCGGCAGCCGCCGAGGCUUCCGUCUCGUUCCCUCGCUCGCUCGCGCAGCGGCGGCAGCAGAGGUCGCGCACAGAUGCGGGUUAGACUGGCGGGGGGAGGAGGCGGAGGAGGGAAGGAAGCUGCAUGCAUGAGACCCACAGACUCUUGCAAGCUGGAUGCCCUCUGUGGAUGAAAGAUGUAUCAUGGAAUGAACCCGAGCAAUGGAGAUGGAUUUCUAGAGCAGCAGCUGCAGCAACAGCAGCCUCAGUCCCCCCAGAGACUCUUGGCCGUGAUCCUGUGGUUUCAACUGGCGCUGUGCUUUGGCCCAGCACAGCUCACGGGUGUGACGCUGGUUUGUGGAGGAAUACUUACCCUUUUAGGACUCCUGCAUGAAUCCACAGUGUAGCAGAGAAGAACGGCGAGGGACAUCCUAAACAUUGAUGACACAGG